rnacentral:misc_RNA from 1 species
GUAUUAAUUUUAUUUAAAAAAUUUCAGACAAAUUUACAGGCUGAUUAUUUGGGCAUACUCUCGGCAGACUCCUCCAAAAAAAAAAACUGAAGGAAAUCUACCGAAAGCAAAAAAAUUUCUAUGGAUGCGCACAGUGGUUGAUCUUUUGGACCGCGCGGCUUUUUUUUACAAGCCUGGCGGCAACCUUUAAUGAUCCUUCCGCAGGUUCACCUACGGAAA